rnacentral:rRNA from 1 species
GCGGGGUGAUGGUGCUUGCACUAUCACUUAGCGGCGGACGGGUGAGUAAUGCUUAGGAAUCUGCCUAUUAGUGGGGGACAACAUCUCGAAAGGGAUGCUAAUACCGCAUACGUCCUACGGGAGAAAGCAGGGGAUCACUUGUGACCUUGCGCUAAUAGAUGAGCCUAAGUCGGAUUAGCUAGUUGGUGGGGUAAAGGCCUACCAAGGCGACGAUCUGUAGCGGGUCUGAGAGGAUGAUCCGCCACACUGGGACUGAGACACGGCCCAGACUCCUACGGGAGGCAGCAGUGGGGAAUAUUGGACAAUGGGGGGAACCCUGAUCCAGCCAUGCCGCGUGUGUGAAGAAGGCCUUAUGGUUGUAAAGCACUUUAAGCGAGGAGGAGGCUCUUUUGGUUAAUACCCGGAAUAAGUGGACGUUACUCGCAGAAUAAGCACCGGCUAACUCUGUGCCAGCAGCCGCGGUAAUACAGAGGGUGCAAGCGUUAAUCGGAUUUACUGGGCGUAAAGCGCGCGUAGGCGGCCAAUUAAGUCAAAUGUGAAAUCCCCGAGCUUAACUUGGGAAUUGCAUUCGAUACUGGUUGGCUAGAGUGUGGGAGAGGAUGGUAGAAUUCCAGGUGUAGCGGUGAAAUGCGUAGAGAUCUGGAGGAAUACCGAUGGCGAAGGCAGCCAUCUGGCCUAACACUGACGCUGAGGUGCGAAAGCAUGGGGAGCAAACAGGAUUAGAUACCCUGGUAGUCCAUGCCGUAAACGAUGUCUACUAGCCGUUGGGGCCUUUGAGGCUUUAGUGGCGCAGCUAACGCGAUAAGUAGACCGCCUGGGGAGUACGGUCGCAAGACUAAAACUCAAAUGAAUUGACGGGGGCCCGCACAAGCGGUGGAGCAUGUGGUUUAAUUCGAUGCAACGCGAAGAACCUUACCUGGCCCUUGACAUAGUAGAAACUUUUCCAGAGAUGGAUUGGUGCCCUUCGGGAAAUCUACAUACAGGUGCUGCAUGGGCUGUCGUUCAGCCUCGUGUCGUGGAGAUGGUUGGGAUAGUCCGGCCA